AGCCUACGGGACGCAGCAGUGGGGAAUAUUGCACAAUGGGGGGAACCCUGAUGCAGCGACGCCGCGUGAGUGAAGAAGUAUUUCGGUACGUAAAGCUCUAUCAGCAGGGAAGAAAAAAGGACGGUACCUGAGUAAGAAGCCCCGGCUAACUACGUGCCAGCAGCCGCGGUAAUACGUAGGGGGCAAGCGUUAUCCGGAUUUACUGGGUGUAAAGGGAGCGCAGACGGCUGUGCAAGUCUGGAGUGAAAGGCGGGGGCCCAACCCCCGGACUGCUCUGGAAACUGUAUGGCUGGAGUGCAGGAGAG
rnacentral:rRNA from 1 species